UACGUAGGGUGCGAGCGUUAAUCGGAAUUACUGGGCGUAAAGCGUGCGCAGGCGGUUCGCUGUGUCCGAUGUGAAAGCCCCGGGCUUAACCUGGGAAUGGCAUUGGAAACUGGCGGGCUUGAGUGCGGCAGAGGGGGGUGGAAUUCCGCGUGUAGCAGUGAAAUGCGUAGAGAUGCGGAGGAACACCGAUGGCGAAGGCAGCCCCCUGGGCCGACACUGACGCUCAGGCACGAAAGCGUGGGGAGCAAACAGG
rnacentral:rRNA from 1 species